CGACCAAGAGGGUCCCGCCCACCCAGCGGCUCCAGGACCCGCCCAUCAGCCAAGAGGAGGAGCUAGAGAGAUGGAGGUACGGUGGUCUGACAAGACGAAAAAAAGGAACAAAGUACGUCGGACCUUUUGUCGGAUAUUUUUAUGUUGCUAAGCAAUGUAGUAGACUAAUGCAAAACAUUGAUAGGAUGAAUCUUAAUGAGGGGCGUGGCUUGAUACUGGGCAAAGUUUCUAAACUACCAAAAGAACACGACAAACCAGUUAAACUAAUUUCAGACGACAAGUGGUACAUGCCUAGUGGAGAUGCGUAGCUUGGUAAAGGAGUGGGCAGAGACUGGGAGGAGUCUAGCAAUGUUUGUAUUACUAGUAUGAGAAAAACUAAACGUUGAAUAUAAAACAGGACGACAUGUCAUCAAGUCCUACCCACUCCAGCACUAGUUACCCCAUACAGUGUAUACUCCCUCCAGCUGAAGGUCAUGUGACCAGUGACUUAUUGUACCCCCACUAUAAUAACGGAUUGGUAAUAGCGUAUUAUGAUAAGAAUGGGAAUGGAAAAAUGAGGAAUGAAGAACAGGAACCAAAAACUACCAAUUUAAUUGUCAUUUAUAAGGUUUCUGAGAGAUACUAUUCAUUAUAGCCAAUCUGUUGUUUUGGAACUGGUUGAUCCUGCCCACUAAUGAGGACAAACCGGUUUAUCUGGUUUCUGAUAGUUCAUUAUCAGUUUCAGCAUUCCUUUUAUCACAAGAAGACUUUGUAGCAAAAGUAUUAAUGUAUGGUAGUGUGUCAGUAGCUGAGGAGGUGUGUCACUUGAACCGCUGGGACCAAUGUUCCCUCCCUCUCAAUGCACUGGAGACUGGACUGGAACUGAGGCAGUUGGACAUAGUGUCAUUCUUCCUUAGGAACAGAGGUGUCACAUACCCUCCAGACAGGUAGUCAUCUGGUACAUAGUACUGUUUACUAUUAUACAUGUAGUAAGGACUCUAUUAAUACUACAGUAAUUGACUCUAUCGAUACAGUCUAUUGAUUUAUAGUCAGGCGCACUUUUUGCUUAUUUUGUCUUAAUAGCAGGGCUUGCUUUCACUUGCAUACUUA